GCUCGAUGAGUAGGGCGGGACACGUGGUAUCCUGUCUGAAUAUGGGGGGACCAUCCUCCAAGGCUAAAUACUCCUGACUGACCGAUAGUGAACCAGUACCGUGAGGGAAAGGCGAAAAGAACCCCGGCGAGGGGAGUGAAAAAGAACCUGAAACCGUGUACGUACAAGCAGUGGGAGCCUCUUAAUGGGGUGACUGCGUACCUUUUGUAUAAUGGGUCAGCGACUUAUAUUCUGUAGCAAGGUUAACCGAAUAGGGGAGCCGAAGGGAAACCGAGUCUUAACUGGGCGUUAAGUUGCAGGGUAUAGACCCGAAACCCGGUGAUCUAGCCAUGGGCAGGUUGAAGGUUGGGUAACACUAACUGGAGGACCGAACCGACUAAUGUUGAAAAAUUAGCGGAUGACUUGUGGCUGGGGGUGAAAGGCCAAUCAAACCGGGAGAUAGCUGGUUCUCCCCGAAAGCUAUUUAGGUAGCGCCUCGUGAAUUCAUCUCCGGGGGUAGAGCACUGUUUCGGCAAGGGGGUCAUCCCGACUUACCAACCCGAUGCAAACUGCGAAUACCGGAGAAUGUUAUCACGGGAGACACACGGCGGGUGCUAACGUCCGUCGUGAAGAGGGAAACAACCCAGACCGCCAGCUAAGGUCCCAAAGUCAUGGUUAAGUGGGAAACGAUGUGGGAAGGCCCAGACAGCCAGGAUGUUGGCUUAGAAGCAGCCAUCAUUUAAAGAAAGCGUAAUAGCUCACUGGUCGAGUCGGCCUGCGCGGAAGAUGUAACGGGGCUAAACCAUG
rnacentral:rRNA from 2 species